rnacentral:lncRNA from 1 species
UGCGAUACAAACGGCUGACCUACACCAUCGAGGACGAGGACAAUUUAGGCGGUGGACGUUUAGAGUAGAUGGCAUCUAAGUAGUAUUCCCGGUUUAUUUCAGGGGAGAUAAACUACUGUGAGGAGAUCAAGAAGUUGAGAGUUAAGCUGAACUAUUUGUGGAAGAGGGUUCAGGAGCUCAAAGCCAAUAACAACCAGGGCUUCGAAAAAGAUGUAAGCUCUCCUGUUAUAUGAUUUGCUACCUGUUCUUUCAUCAGCAAUUGUAUGAAUGAGGUAUCUGCCUUGCAAAUCUAUUUUGCAUAUAUUCUAUACAAGGUCGUCUAAUAAUGUGUAAAAUUCAGAGUCAUUGUACAUGACCACAACUGAAAAUUAAAAAUGCAUUUGACAAAUAGCAUCAAAUAAUUUGAAACAUUGUAUUUCUGAUUCACAUGUUGGCGUAUUUAUGCUGUGGUAACUUGGGAUUAUUCAUCUGAGAUUCUCAUUCUUAAAAUCUGUAUAUUGGUCACUCUCCUAGCGAUUCUUUUCUAUGUACUACUUUUUUGCAUCUUGAUCUGUUUGUUCUUGGUACAACUUAAGACCAUCCUGUCUUAUUGUCUUGUAUAGUUAUAUCGUCAAUUUUUCUGAAAAACACCCCAUCAGGUCAUAGGGUAUAGCUUUUUCAUAAUUUCAUAUUAGCUACCUCAGUCUUGAAGUUUAUUAUUGGGUGGUCCCGGUCAGGUAGGUCAACAACAAUUUAAGCAUAGGUACAAGGCAGCGAUCAGAGGUGCAAAUCGACGACCGGCUUUUCAUGUUGCAUAUUCUUCAUUUCUUUUUCCUAGCUCAGUUUGUUGGUGCAUUCGGAUUUUGUUUCGGGGACAAAGAAUAGUCCAAUUUUGAUUGGGGAACCUGUUGUGGGAGAAAUGACUAUAGCUAAAGGGUUGGCAACCAUGGAAUGCUACUAAUGAAGAUUCAGUUUAAAUUUUACAAGCAUACACAUGUGUUUGAAUGUUUUAGUUCAUCUAUGCUUUUUAUUAUAUAUUUUUUACAGAAUAGUGGGGUUAUAGUUAUUCUGAGAGCCUUGUUGAGAGUAUUCUUAAUUGUAUUCAUUGCUUCAGGUACCUACUUAUAUGCCUUAUAAGUAUUCUCCUACAAUUUGACAUGCUACAAAAGGAGAAGAUUUAUAUAUGUUUCUCAAGCAUUUUUACUAAACUAUGUGUGAUGUCAUACAGAGAAGCUAAAAAGUACGGCAGCAUGAUUAGUGCGCACAGUUCCGCCUCAAGAGAUGCGCCCAGGGCGCGUCCCAGCUACCAGUCAUCUCACCUUCAUCUCUAUAGAUAUAAGUCUUUGUUGGAUGUAAGACCGCUACUCUGUGUUCAUAUAAGCCUACCUAUUAAUAAUAUCUCUGAUUUAUUUUAUGAAUAUACAUUGCAAGUAAUGCAUUUUUGUUGGUCCUA